rnacentral:misc_RNA from 1 species
AGGACAUCACCCUUCUUCUCUCCUACUCUCUGUACAUAAAAAAGCAUCACUGUGUGCGUGCAGGUUUAAGUAUUGGAGUUUGAGGAUUGAUAGCAAAGGCGAUGGCUUGUGUGACAACUACUAGCCUCAUCUACUCCAUCUCUUGUGAUCGAAGACACGCUCCUGCUCGUCGAUUCUUGUAUAAUGUCAAGAAAUACAACAGAAUCUUGCUUAAAACAUGCAAUAGACUCUCUUCGAUGGGUGGAUUGCGAGUUUAUUGCGAAUCCAAGGUAGAGGAAAAGAAGGUGAGAAAGUGUUCCCCUUGCCUAGAAAAGGCAUUGCUUACGAGUAAAAGCAAUGGUGCCUUGGCUUCU